ACUCUCGUUGCUUUGGCGGGCCGCCGGGCCCUGCCCGGCCGCCGGCCCCGGCUGGCGCGUGCCCGCCAGAGACCUCACAGACUCUGAAUGUUAGUGUCGUCCGAGUAACUAUACAAUCGUUAAAACUUUCAACAACGGAUCUCUUGGUUCUGGCAUCGAUGAAGAACGCAGCGAAAUGCGAUAAGUAAUGCGAAUUGCAGAAUUCAGUGAGUCAUCGAAUCUUUGAACGCACAUUGCGCCCUGUGGUAUUCCGCAGGGCAUGCCUGUUCGAGCGUCAUUUCAACCCUCAAGCCUCGCUUGGUGUUGGGCCCUGCCCGCCGCGGCCGGCCCUAAAGAUAGUGGCGGCGCCGCCUGGCCCUCAGCGUAGUACAGCUCUCGCUCCAGGGUCCGGCGGCAGCCUGCCAGAACCCCCCAACUCUGAGGUUGACCUCGGAUCAGGUAGGGAUACCCGCU
rnacentral:rRNA from 1 species